GUUUGAUCAGCAUAGCUGAUCCUAAACUCACAUGUGGGCCGAGAGCAGAAUGCCAUCAGCACCACAAUUUAUACUAUACAUUUAUGCUCACAAAAUGGAGGAAGUGGAAGUGAUGAAUUAAGUGAGAAGCUUUUGUUAUGAUUCUUUUAGGUUUUAAGGGUAAGAAAUUGAGAAUGGAUCUCCUUGGAGAGGAAGGAUAGAGAAUGGUACAUCUGAAGGACACAAUUUAUCAUGCUAAACAUUGAUAUCCCAGAGCGGCGUGCAGAAGCCACAGUUUGGAAGAAGAGCAUGAACGAAGGCAGGGGAAGAUACCAGACUGGUGGUGAUCCCAAGCCUCUCACACGCUGACGGUGAGGACAGCACAUGUGGGUGCCACAUGAGCAGGCUCCAGACCUGGUCUCAGUGAAGCCAAC
rnacentral:lncRNA from 1 species